GGCGGCGGCGGCUGGGGCGGGCGGCGCGCCGAGUCUCCGCGGCGACUGCGGCCACUGCGUGCGGCCGCCAACCUGCCCGGCGACCUCCCGGUCCUCCUGCCCGCCGCGGGGAGGCCGUCGCGGAGCCGGCCCUGAGACCUUCGCUCCGCGCCCCGCCGGGAGGUGAUCCCCAACCGAGCACUGCGGGGUGCGUGCCGUCGGGGACCGCUGCGCUGCUGGCCCAGCGCAAGGGAACCUUGCACGGGACUUGGGGACGUUCCGCACAGCUCCCAGCAAUGUUUGGAUUUGGGGGACCGAGGGGCGCUGCUGUCACAAAUCCCUCGCACGGAGAGGCGACUGUCCGGAACCCCCGGAACCCCCCCCCCCCAAGACCUGGUCCCACGGCAGAGGGCGGUGACGCGGUCUCUCCCGGGAGCUGCAGCAGGAGUCGCGAGGCAGGGACACCUCAGUCUGCAGGAGGAGGAGCCGUGGAGGGAGAAGGUGGCUGCGAGGGGCCUCACUCCGUCCGCUUCACCUCAGAGCCGGGAGGUCCCCGAGGCCUGGGAGCGCAACCGCUGAGCAAGAGGUUCCAUACCUCACUCCCAGGAGAAAAAAGGAGGGUGUCACCGCGAACUGCUCUGCGGAGGAAGAUAAAGAAAAUACUCCGUCCGCUGGAGGACCUGGACCCGGGGCGGAGGGCGCCGCGGCCUGGCUUCUGGAGCCCUGGCGAGCCUGUUCUCUAUUCCAGAUCGCUCGCGCUGCCCUGCUCGCCCGCCUCUUGGUCUCUCGCUGGCUGGACCGAUACAUCUGCAGAUACCUUGGCCCAAUCUCUGGCGGCUCCGGGUCCCGUCGCUCUCACAAGCUGCCCCAAACUCCCCAACCCCGCGAGGCCGGAGACCCCAGGCAUCCGGAAGCCUGGGGCUCCUUGAGGGAACAGUCCAGGCCCAGCCGCCCGGCGGGUUUCCCUGAAAUAGCAAACUUCUGCCGGAAGGGGGCGACCUUGCCUUUUUAAUAAUCCACAAACUCACAUUGGUAGCGAAAUAAAUCUCUAAAAUCCCAAAUUUUUGGUUCGUUC
rnacentral:lncRNA from 12 species